rnacentral:rRNA from 1 species
AGGACUAACGCUGGCGGCGUGCCUAACACAUGCAAGUCGAACGAAGUAGCAAUACUUAGUGGCAGACGGGUGAGUAACACGUAGUCAACCUGCCCUUCAAUGGGGGAUAACUAGCCGAAAGGUUAGCUAAUACCGCAUACGAUCUCUGAGUGGCAUCACUCGGCGAUGAAAGGAGUAAUCCGUUGAAGGAGGGGACUGCGUCCCAUUAGUUAGUUGGUGGGGUAAUGGCCUACCAAGACUCCGAUGGGUAGCUGGCUUGAGAGAGCGACCAGCCACACUGGAACUGAGACACGGUCCAGACUCCUACGGGAGGCAGCAGUGAGGAAUUUUCCGCAAUGGGGGAAACCCUGACGGAGCGACGCCGCGUGUGGGAAGAAGGCCUUCGGGUCGUAACCACUGUCGAGGGGGACGAUAUUGACGGUACCCCUGGAGGAAGCCCCGGCUAACUACGCGCCAGCAGCCGC